rnacentral:lncRNA from 1 species
ACACAGGAGGAAAAGGUGGAGGAGCAGGUCCAGCACGUGCACACACACACCCGCACCCUUCCUCCUGCCUGGGGAGCUGCUGGGUUCCCACCUUACCGUCCACGGGGCUUUCUGCCUCACGAGCACCCACGCUCCUGCUCAUUUUUUUUUAAGAUUUUAUUUAUUCAUGAGAGACAGAGAGAGAGAGAGAGAGAGAGAGAGAGAGAGAGAGAGAGGGAGAGGGGCAGAGACACAGGCAGAGGGAGAAGCAGGCUCCAUGCGGGGAGCCCGACACAGGCCUUGAUCCUGGGACCCCAGGGUCAUGCCCUGGGCCGAAGGCAGGUGCCAAACCACUGGGCCCCCCGGCGGUCCCCUCCCUCAUUAACCCAGAGCUUGGGGCCAAGUGGUUCAGUACCUCCUCACUUUGCAGGCCGGGGGAUCCGCCUGUCCCCCCACGACCCCCUGCAAGUCUACGGGCUUCUCAACAUUCACUCCAUAGACGUUUGUUCUCCACAAUGUCGCACCCCUUCCAGAGUCCCUGGAGAUGGAACCUCCUCCACCAACUUGCUGGCCCUUGCUGGUCAGUGCGAUGCAGACGAACCCCCCACACCCGCUCCUAGGUUCCGAAAGCUGGUAGGGCCAGCGGGUCGGGACCUCAGCCGGUCUGCGCGGCCCGCCAUCCGGGCUGCCAGGGCCUGGUCCACGCGGCUCCACCCCGCCUUGCGCCGCUCCAGCAGCACGAACCGGGGCUGCUCAGCGUUUACGGCUUAUAAACCACCUCAAGGGGCUGGUGCUCCUGUCAAGGCCAAGUCUAGGCUCGGGGCCGCUAGGCCUCCUGCUGUCCGGCCAGUGCGGCCUGUGAGUCUGGCUCCUCCUCGCCUGCCCGCCCGCCCCUGGUCACCCUCAGCCCUAAGCUGCCCUCCGGCCGGGAGGCCCAACUCAGCAGCCUGCCCGGGACAGCUGCUCCCGGCAUGUCCAGCCCCCAGGGGCUCCCCGUGGGUUUACCUGGUUGUAUCCUGUCAUUUAAUUUUGUGCUCUAGCAAAACUAACUUUCACGUGGCCAGUGACGAAGGCCAAAGGACAACUGUCCUGGAGGCCUACGGGUAA